UACUGCUGGUCCACCAGGAGAAUUCACCUGUAUAAUCUGAAUCAUUUUGUUGAGUUCUGGAGCCCACUGCACUACCAGGUGUCUUCACUCAGUCUCUGUAGGGCAAAGAGCAAGACCACCAGAGUGCUGGCAUUAGGAGACGCAAAUAGCAUCCAGAUCCUAUCCAGGUUGGACGGUAGUAAGCUAUGCAUUGUGCCACCACCCCCCUUUGUCUCUCCAAUUCAAAAAACACCCAACUUUGUGUACAGCAGAGAAAUAGGCAUAGUCGUUGUGCUUCUCAGCCCAUGGGAGGUGUGGGUCUAUACUGCCAGAACUGAUCCAGCCUGCAGAGUAGCAUUGUGGAAUAUACGGGACUUACAACACCAAGCAGAAGUUUACGAAAGAAA